UAUUCUCCAUGCAGGAAGAUAGCACUGCACUUAUCGGACUGAUCUUUAAAUUGCAAGCAUUGCGCAGCAGAGACUGUAACGAACCAUGAGACGCCGUGAAAGGGGGAAGCCUGGCCUAUAGGAGAGACUGGAGCUGGAAACACCUGCAGUUCAUUGCCCUCUGGAGAAGAAUCUGUAUGUGCCUGAGAUUCAUGCAGAGGUUCUGCAGGAAAUGAGGGACCUUCAGAAGAAGUUAUUCAUCUCCUACAUGUAAAAAAAUUGAGCUUCACUCAAAUCCAUCAGGGGAUCUGUGAAAGUUUGUCACAGAUUAUGUGUUGAUGUUGGCACGGUUACUUAGAGGGUACAUUAUUGAUAAAAGUUAAAUAUUUAAUCUUUCUUCACUGUCUCUAAACAAAACUGGCAUUUACCUACCAGGAGGCUGAAAGUUCAGCCUUUUCAAUAUUGUAGCAAGGACACAUGCUGGUAAUUUCCCUCAGAAGAAAAUAAAUAACACAUCCUCUCUGCAGCUGUGACAGACGAAAAGUCACAGCGUUUACUGUCUGGAAGUCCAGAGAGGUCCUGGGCUGGCACGGAGGACCACGUGUGCCUCGCUGGGGGUGCAGCAACAGAUACACCAAAGCAGAUGGAGUGACUGCUUCAAACCUGCCUCUCUGUCUCUCUUAGAAGCCAAGUCCAACCCAUUCGAUUAGCUGAAUGCAGGUGUUUGAGUGUGUUUGUGAUUUAAUUAUUCAUAACAUCAGCUUCAUAUUUUAUGGAUUAUUCUGCAUCAGUUCUGGUACUUGCCUCAUGCAUUAUGCAUGCACCUGAAUCUGUUCUGGGGGGGGUGAAGCAUAAGAGACAAAGUAUGCUGCUCACCUGUGUGCUUCUGAUUACCAAGGAACACCUCUCACCCAGAGAUGAAUCGAAUUCCAGUUGUGUACUCCUUUGUCCUGUAAAUGCACUUUGAAUUUUCCCAAACAAAUGAAAGGUGGGUUUUUUUCCUCUUUUCCUUCACCCAAACUCUUCUAAUUUGACUUUUAUGGUUAUGGCUUAUAACAAAACAUCUUCCAUUACAAAAGUUUUUUUUUCUGGUUACCAGUGUUCCAGCUCAGAAGCACUGUCUCCUAAAAAUUAUAGCAAAGGCCUCUUAAAAUAAGUAUCUCUGAAAGAUGCAAAUUCAUCAAGUAUCAAGGCUCAAAACACAGGACAAUGCAUAAUAAAUUGCUGUUAAACUGUACUAGGAGGCAGAGAAGGCAAGGAUGUAAUCUGUUUUGAUCAUGCUAAUACAGCUCACUGCAGAGAAGACAUGACAACUUAUUGGCAAAUUUCCGUAGAAACCCAAGCAAGAGUUGUGGAGGGAGUUAAUUGCUAAUUGGUUCAUUGUGUCACAUAUCUCAUUAGCAAUCCUGCAUUCCUUGGUUCUCUUUUCAAAUGUAAAUCUACGCCAGACCCUUUUUCCCAACAGACUGAAUUUUUCAAAGAUGAUGUGGAGCAAAGGGACUGUAGAGUUGUCCUAAUCGAGGAGGAAACAGCUUUAUGGCACAGGGAGAGCUCAGCUGGGAUUGGGGACACACUGGUAUGGGCAGGCUGUUGCUGCAGCCAUGUUCCUCCUUGCUGGCAUGAAACAAGCUCAGAGAGCGCUGUCACCUCCUGAAAGUCAAAGCCACCUCCUCUAAUUGUCACUCGGGGCUGGCUCUGACUUCACGUGGUGCCUGGUGCCAGGCGCUGCACACGGGGCCAUCCACCAAGUGAGCUCAGUGCAGCCACUGCGAGCAGCCCACUGGAGACCCCUGGCCACUGCCUGAAGCCCAGGGGCAAGGAUGGGGGAAGAGGGCAUCUAACACAGUUCACUUCAAACUGUUCAAAAGAGGUUGGCAGGUUGGUUUUUUUUUUAUUUUUUGUUUUUUUUCCCUUUCAUAAAACCUUCAACAGUUUCUCACCUGGAGCAGGAAACUUGACAGGUAGAAGUUUCAGAUAUGCCCAAAUGAUUUAAGAGCCUAAAGACGUGUGCUGACAAAGCCCUGUCCAAGAGGUACCAGUAAACGAGGGAUUUACCUCCAGCACAGCGCUGUGCCACCUCAGCUGUCCUGUGCUGCAGCAGUGGGUGCCAGCCCGGGGUCCUGCUCUGCUCCGUGCUAGCUCGGGGGGUUGGCAUCACGCUCCACCACCUGCAAUCUGACAUCACGCAAAUCCCCCAAUUCUGAACUCCGUUUGGAAAAGGGGACUUGGGGAUUUAGACCACGAAAGCCGCUGUGAAAGAGCUACUCUGAAAGCAACAAAACCUGAAGUUCUUCAGCUACUCUGACAAGGCUGCGGAGGAAACCGCUUCCUAGGCAGUUCCUAACAGCGCUCGUUGAUCGUAAGCGUUUCUGAGCCUGUCUGUCCACCCUGGCUGCCCGCGACAAAUGUGCUCUGCCUGGCUAUUCUCACUCUGCCUCUUGUGCAGAGAGCCCCACGGCGAGGUGAGCCUGGCUCAGACAUCCCCGUGGAGGGUGGGGAGCUCGUACCCGGCACGGCAGCCCGCAGGGGAGCAGUGCAGGAGCCGGUGGGUGACUUGACUAAAGCCAAGCCUGGAAACACAGACCUUCCCACAAGGACACAGUGAGCAGCAGAGAUUGUUCAUAAAGUCUUUUCA